UAAGUACUCCCUCCGUCCGAAAAUACUUGUCAUCAAAAUGGAUAAAAAGAGAUGUAUCUAAAACUAAAAUACGUCUAGAUACAUUUCCUUUUAUCCAUUUUGAUGACAAGUAUUUCCGGACGGAGGGAGUAUUUG
rnacentral:pre_miRNA from 1 species